rnacentral:lncRNA from 1 species
GACUCCUUACUUAUAUUUAUGAGAUAAUAAAAUAUGAAAAACCUCUAUCAAGAAUUGGUUUACAUAGGAAUUGAGGACUUAUUCAUGUUCAAACAAGUUUCAAAAAUAUUAUUUUGACCGUUGUAGGUAUACGAGGAUAUAUAUGUGUAAUAUGUGUUUAUAGUACUUAAUAAAGAAAAUAAUAAUAAUAACAAUAAUAAAAUACAUAUUUUGUAUCCAAAACGAUCCAUUUUUCUUCUUCUCUCCCAUUUAUUUUCUUUUCUUCCCGCUUGCGCCCACCUCACCUCACGUCUCCUUCUCUGUUCAAGCUGUCCCUCCCCUUCCUCACAAUUUUCCAUCUGCCUGAGCAGUAGUCCAAUCGUCCUCCACCGCCCUUGACCGACGGCAGCUCCUUUUCCUUCCAUUUCUUGCCCGAAAAAUUGAAGAAAAAAGGGAUAUAGGCUGCCAUUUCUUCUUGGGGCUGUUGCAGGUGUUGUGGCUCUACAGGGCUGCUACCAUUAGCUUUCUCAAGCUCCAAGCAGCCCUUUUGGACCUCCUUUGCAGUUGCCAUCGCCGGAAAUGGGAGGAGGAGCUUCGCCGGAGCAGCGACUUUCUUGGUUUUUUUUUUGAAAGAUCGGUAAAGAGUUAGGUGAAAAUAAUUACAUAUUCGGACUCCUUGCGUCGAGAUCUUCGAGUAGGUGGUCUCAGAUCGCGUUUUCGACGACGUCGAAUUUUCCGGCCACCGAGGGUGCAGGCGCCUCGAUUUGCGUGCCGAGGGGCAGAAUGUUUGUCACAUUAUUUGGAGAAUUUUGGUGGUAUUGGUUCGUUAAAACUCUUUUCGGAUAAUAACUUGUGAAUUUUUAAUGUGAAUUGUUGUAUUAAAAUUAAAAUAUUUAAUCCUGUUGAAUUAUCGUUAAAUUGUGAGUUGUUAAAUGAUUAUAGGACCGUUAAAUUAUUUAAAAGCUCAGAGUUAAUUAUUGUGGUGAUAUCGUGUGGCGGAGAAUUAUUUGAAUGUCGAUAUAUUAAUUAUUGGAAUUAAGAGACUGCAAUAAAUUAAAUAAAUUCGAAUAUUAUGAAAAUUAAUUGUUGAUUAUGUUAUGAAAUUGAUCUGCUUAGGCAUAAAAUGAAAUUUAGAGGUUCAAAUGAAUUUUGGGAUUUAUAUAGAAGUGAUUUUUCUGCAGAUUCCAGACUCGUUUUACAAGGCGGAGUAGUCCGAUUUUAGAGAAAAUGAUGUCGAAUUUCAGACAAUUUUUUUAAAAAUUUGUUACAUGUCCAUCAUGUUUAAUCAUUUAUCCGAUUUCAAUCAAGUUGGUUCAAAUUCUUUUUUUUAUUUUUUUUAUUCUCACUUAUAUUAGGUAAUGGUAAUUUUAGUAUUUUUUAUAUGUUGCAAACUUGAGAAUUUUAU